rnacentral:rRNA from 1 species
AGAUGAGAUGAGUAUUCUAAGGCGCGUGAAAGAACUCUGGUUAAGGAACUCUGCAAACUAGCACCGUAAGUUCGCGAUAAGGUGUGCCGCAGCAAUGCGGUCUCAGCAAAGAGUCCCUCCCGACUGUUUACCAAAAACACAGCACUUUGCCAACUCGUAAGAGGAAGUAUAAGGUGUGACGCCUGCCCGGUGCUCGAAGGUUAAGAGGAUGCGUCAGUCGCAAGAUGAAGCGUUGAAUUGAAGCCCGAGUAAACGGCGGCCGUAACUAUAACGGUCCUAAGGUAGCGAAAUUCCUUGUCGGUUAAAUACCGACCUGCAUGAAUGGCGUAACGAGAUGGGAGCUGUCUCAACCAGAGAUUCAGUGAAAUUGUAGUGGAGGUGAAAAUUCCUCCUACCCGCGGCAAGACGGAGAGACCCCGUGGACCUUUACUACAACUUAGCACUGCUAAUGGGAA